rnacentral:rRNA from 1 species
CCUACGGGUGGCAGCAGUGAGGAAUAUUGGUCAAUGGGCGCGAGCCUGAACCAUCCAAGUAGCGUGAAGGAUGACUGCCCUACGGGUUGUAAACUUCUUUUAUAAAGGAAUAAAGUGAGGCACGUGUGCCUUUUUGUAUGUACUUUAUGACUAAGGAUCGGCUAACUCCGUGCCAGCAGCCGCGGUACUACGAAGGAUCCGAGCGUUAUCCGGAGUUAUUGGGUUUAAAGGGAGCGUAGAUGGGUUGUUAAGUCAGUUGUGAAAGUUUGCGGCUCAACCGUAAAAUUGCAAUUGUUAAUGGAAGUCUUGAGUACAGUUGAGGUAGGCGGAAUUCGUGGUGUAGCGGUGAAAUGCUUAGAUAUCACGAAGAACUCCGAUUGCGAAGGCAGCUUACUAAACUGCCACUGACAUUGAUGCUCGAAAGUGUGGGUAUCAAACAGGAUUAGAUACCCCGGUAGUC